UAUUUGCGGGGCUUCAUUACCAGUUCCCUUUAUUAACUAUGAUUUGGACCAGCUUGAAACAAGCUAAUUGCCUUGCGUAUGAACGUAUGAGGAAGGCAAGGCUAAGAGAAAAGAUAGCACCAUGUUGAUUUACAGUUUUAUGGGUGUGGUAAAAAAAGUGUCAAGAAAAUUUUGCCGAAGGGAUUAAUUAAAAUCUUAGUUAACUAGUCAAUAUUGUUCUAUAUGCUGGCUAAAUUGUCAUGUUAACCGCUUUGUGUCGCGGCUCCGAAGUAUGGCCUCUUGAUCUCUUUUAUACCCAUUGUGUUUAAAUUCAAUCGAGCCGAGAGUUGCAAACGGUACUUACAAAACUAAGAAAACCCUUUAGGAACUAUCCUCAGCGGACCAAGAAACUUUGAUAAAAGCCGAGGGAUUGCUAUUUAGCUCCACAGUUUUGGAAAAACACAGGCGAGAAGAGAAAUCUUUACUUAUUGAGAAGUCAGAGUUGAUUUGAUUUUCCAGGUAGGUUCAAAACGUUCUUAGUAAAUUUAUAACCAUGGCAGAAACAAAUAUCAGAAUAACUAUGGUGUUUUUUUUUAUAGUAAGAGAGUUAAAAAAAAAUGUUUGGCAUAUGUGCGUGGUGAUAAUUCAAAUUAUUGCUACCUCCUCGUCCAAGAAAACAACCAAACCAAUUAAUCGUGUUUGGUUCGCUGCUUAUUAAGAGAAGAAGUCGGGCAACACGCUGUUUGAAGCCAAAUCGCGCCCGUAAAGGCCUUCCGAGUGCUAAAAAAAGAGUUAAAUUUAAUUCUUGACUGACAGGUCGCACGGCAGAAAUACGACGUUUGGAAGAGGCCUAAGCUUCUAGAAGUAAAAUGAACGGAUAAUUAUGGAGCGAAAAAUUAUUUCAGUUUAAUACUGGGCGACCAACGCGCGCAUUCAGUGUUUGUUUGAUACAGCAUUGAUGCCUUUAAAGCAAACAACCUCGAGAGUUAGCUACACGUAGAAAUAACACGAUUGCGAAACGUUUAGUCGCGGUUAAUUAUGUAGCAUCUAUUUAUGCAUCUGACCUGGAUUUUUGACCAUUUUUAAACAUCUGGGCUGCUUUAUUGUUAGGCUAUUGUUCUAAACAGGUGAUUAUGCAAACAGGUGAUUAUGCGAACCACUCCCAUUUUAAAACAAAACUUUUGAUAUGAGUAAAACUUUUCUCAAUCUUUCAAAAUUGUAUAUAUUGGAAAGAAUUCUUGGGCUGUUUAGUGUUAGUCAGUGAUUCUUGACCAAUGGACCACUGUACGUUCGUUGUCGUUUCAGAUGACUGGCUUUGUUCUACUAUUGCCGGCAUUUCUCUUUUGGCUCCAGGCCCCAACGGGAUGUCACGGUCGCCGUGCAAGUUCAAGUUCCCCGGAUAUUAGCUAUGCUAUCCUGAUUGACGCUGGAUCGACGGGCAGUCGGAUGUACAUCUACAAAUUCAACUUGAACGGAAAUGGAAAAGUUGACAGCGUUGACGAUGUUGAAGAACUGACCAACUCGCUUGGAAAAGUCAAACCGGGGCUUUCGUCGAUGCUUAACAAACCGGACGACAUCGAGGCGUACUUUCAGAAAUUAUUUGACGAAGCUGACAAGAUUAUCCCAAAAGAAAAACAGAGCUCUACUCCUUUUGUCGUGCUAGCGACCGCUGGUAUGCGCCUAUUGCCCGAGCCAGAUCAAGAUGCCAUCAUGAAUAAGGUAAAAGAAAUACUGAACAGCGAUGACUCGCCAUUCCUUUUCAAAGAUGACAAUGUCCAAGUUAUUUCAGGGAAAGAAGAAGCUAUCUUCGCCUGGAUCACCGUAAAUUUCAUUCAAGGCGUGUUGACUUCGCCAAAGAGACGGGGCUUUUCUUGGGGCGUCUUAGACAUGGGCGGGGCCUCGACCCAAAACACAAUGAGUCUUUUCAAGAAGCCUAGACACAGUACGACCGUAAAACUGGGAAAGAAAAUCUACAGAUUGUUCGCCAGAAGCUAUUUGGAUAUGGGGCUGGCAAGGAUUCACGAUCGCUAUCUGGAGUUUCUGGAUCAGUGGAAAAACAAAUCGUUAGCCAACGUGGGUGGUCUGGAAUAUGCCAAGAGUCCUUGUCAUCAUGAAGGCUUCAUGGGAUCGAUCGGAUCCGAAAGCAUGAAUGUUAUUGGACAGCCUAACUCGGAGGUGUGCCGCAAACUUAUCAAUGAUAUGUUGUUCUGUGAGAAUCGAGAGUCUGAAGAUUGUCCAUUCCAUGAUCAGCCGCAGUUAACCGGCAGAUUCAUCGCUUUCUCUGCUUUUCACACUGUGAUCGAUCGUAUAGGCGCUGUGAUAUGCGAGGACAGGCCCGUCACGGUAGAGCAAAUAGGCUGUGCUGCAAGNAAGUUCUGCUCCAAGCCGUACAACGUGGUGAAGCCGAUUGAUGAAGGAUAUGUGAAGUUCUCGUGUUUGUGGGGAAAUUAUGUGUACGAACUCUUGAGUAAAGGUUAUAAAAUGCCUCAGAACAAGCAAAUUUACGUUCAAAAGGAAUUAAAAGGGUAUUCAUUAAGCUGGAUCAUGGGAGCCGUGUUGUACAAAACUGAGUUGCUGUAAAUGUCGAGAAAUACGCGAGGAAAAUUCUUCAUCUAAGCUGAUAUGGGGUGUAUUCGUUUAGCUGUUUUAAACUUCUUCCGGUUAGAGAGCUUUUCUUUCUUUUUGUUGUCAUGGUUUCCGUAAGUAUUACUGCACUGCAAUGAACUUUUCACUUUUCAGUUUUCAUCAACAGUUAAGUGACUGAAGGUGUUUUGCUCAAUAGAAUGUGAUCUUUCCUUUUCUAAGGGACGAUAUUAUUCCUUAAGCUAGGGUAAUAUUUUGUUCAAUAGUCGAGGUAACGUUAUUAAAAGGGAUGAUCUCUUUUCAAUAAACUCGAUAACUCUAAAAUAUUGAUCGAUCUUUGCUUUCAAACCUACCACCAUGCCGCUCUAUGCCUCUUAUCCACGGAAGAGUAGAACGAAAUAUUCUCUGGUUGAUCUUAACUAAAACCGUUCUAUGGAGCACCCAUAUACCUAAACUCAAACAGAUGUUAACAAAGAGAAUAUGAGGCAAAAAUAAAAUUCCAGCUGAAAGUAGCAUCCACAUGCUUCGUUAUAAAGGACUUCGACAAAAUUCUUCCCGUAAUUCAGUUUCAGUAAACUUCCUGACGGUCUGUGCUCUAAUCGAACGAUUUUAGUUGGAGGUCACCCAUGGAAACCAGCGUUGAAUAACUGAAAAUUUUGAUCCACAAAUCUGUAUAGUCGGUCAAAUCAGGUGCCUGUAAAACCACCAUUCCUCGUGCAAAGGUCCCAGGGUCUGGGACGAGAAUCAUUUAUUUUCAUUUUAUUUUUUACUUUUUCUUUGAGGAUCAUUUAUUAUGAUGACAUGUUCUGGUCUCGAGAAAAAGGUGGAAGGGCACAACAUUAACUAGUAUGCAAAAUCUAGCCAGCCAUUCCUUAAAGAGCAAGACUUUUUAAUUCUGUUCGAAGAGUUUGAAAAGUGAUGCAUGAAAAUAGUGCAGGACUUUUCUAUGGUUGAGUUUACUUAUUGCUUUCAGGUUGCCAUUGAAGAGUCGAGCGCAGAAAGUAAGGUCAAGGUGGAAAGUAACAUAAUAAUGUGCGCGCGAAAGGACGAAAGCUUAUGAGUUUAAUUUUUCUAUGGACAGGACACUGGAACAAAUCAGAAUAAUGCGAAUAAGGUGGGGGUGUGCGGCCCGCUUCCCAAAACAAAUUCCUUACCCCAUUAAUGACCUGACCAAAAAU
rnacentral:misc_RNA from 1 species